GAUGAACGCUAGCGGGAGGCUUAACACAUGCAAGUCGAGGGGCAUCACGAGGUAGCAAUACUUUGGUGGCGACCGGCGCACGGGUGAGUAACACGUAUGCAACCUUCCCUGUACAGGGGGAUAACCCGGAGAAAUUCGGACUAAUACCCCAUGAUGAUAUUACGGGGCAUCCUUUAAUAUUUAAAGCUCUGGCGGUACAGGAUGGGCAUGCGCGACAUUAGCUAGUUGGUAAGGUAACGGCUUACCAAGGCGACGAUGUUUAGGGGACCUGAGAGGGUUGUCCCCCACACUGGUACUGAGACACGGACCAGACUCCUACGGGAGGCAGCAGUGAGGAAUAUUGGUCAAUGGGCGCAAGCCUGAACCAGCCAUCCCGCGUGAAGGAAGAAUGCGCUACGCGUUGUAAACUUCUUUUCCAGGGGGAGAAUAAUCCUGUCGUGACAGGACUUGACGGUACUCUGGGAAUAAGCAUCGGCUAACUCCGUG
rnacentral:rRNA from 1 species